ensembl:snRNA U1 U1 spliceosomal RNA
AUUCUUACCCGGCAGGGAAGAUAAUAUGAUCACGAAGGUGGUUUUCCCAGGGUGAGGUUCAUCCAUUGCACUCUGGAUGUGCUGACCCAUGAUUUUCCCGAAAGUGGGAAACUCGACUGCGUAAUUUGUGGUAGUGGGGGACUGCAUUCUUCAUGCUUUCCCCUA